GCUUACUGCCAUACCAGCCUGGCUAUGCCCGAUCUCGUCUGAUCUCGGAAGCUAAGCAGGUUUGGGCCUGGUUAGUACUUGGAUGGGAGACAGCCUGGGAAUAAUACCAGGUGCUCUAAGAA
rnacentral:rRNA from 1 species